GUGCACGCUGGCGGUAGGCCUAACACAUGCAAGUCGAACGGCAGCACAGUAAGAGCUUGCUCUUACGGGUGGCGAGUGGCGGACGGGUAAGGAAUACAUCGGAAUCUACUUUUUCGUGGGGGAUAACGUAGGGAAACUUACGCUAAUACCGCAUACGACCUACGGGUGAAAGCAGGGGAUCUUCGGACCUUGCGCGAUUGAAUGAGCCGAUGUCGGAUUAGCUAGUUGGCGGGGUAAAGGCCCACCAAGGCGACGAUCCGUAGCUGGUCUGAGAGGAUGAUCAGCCACACUGGAACUGAGACACGGUCCAGACUCCUACGGGAGGCAGCAGUGGGGAAUAUUGGACAAUGGGCGCAAGCCUGAUCCAGCCAUACCGCGUGGGUGAAGAAGGCCUUCGGGUUGUAAAGCCCUUUUGUUGGGAAAGAAAAGCAGCAGGUUAAUACCCCGCUGUUCUGACGGUACCCAAAGAAUAAGCACCGGCUAACUUCGUG
rnacentral:rRNA from 1 species